GCUGCUUUGGUAUAGUGGUUAAGAUGCUUCUUUUGAGAAAUGCUUAUAUAAUCAGGUUGUGGGUUCGAAUCCCGCUGCUGGCA